GCGGCGGUGUUGGAAUUGGUAGACAAGCAUGAUUGAGGGUCAUGUGGGAGUUCUCCCGUGUGGGUUCGAGUCCCAUUCGCCGUA
rfam:Enterococcus devriesei strain DSM 22802 Scaffold2, whole genome shotgun sequence.